rnacentral:tRNA from 1 species
GGGGGCUGGGACUGCUAGGAGUGGUCAUCUCACUUGCACUGAGAACAGCAGCCGGGUUCGAAUCCUCGGAGCUUCCACCA